CCUACGGGCGGCAGCAGUGAGGAAUAUUGGUCAAUGGCCGUAAGGCUGAACCAGCCAAGUCGCGUGAAGGAAGAAGGAUCUAUGGUUUGUAAACUUCUUUUAUCGGGGAAUAAAGGUAUCCACGUGUGGAUAUUUGCAUGUCCCCUAUGAAUACGCAUCGGCUAACACCGUGCCAGCAGCCGCGGUUAUGCGGCGGAUGCUCGCGUUAUCCGGAUUUAUUGGGUUUAAAGGGAGUGUAGGUUGUUUUUUAAGUCAGCGGUGAAAGUUUGUGGCUCAAACAUAAAAUUGCCGUUGAAACUGGAAGACUAGAGUGUGUUAGAGGUAGGCGGAAUGCGAGGUGUAGCGGUGAAAUGCAUAGAUAUCACGCAGAACUCCGAUUGCGAAGGCAGCUUACUAAGCCAUAACUGACACUGAAGCACGAAAGCGUGGGGAUCAAACAGGAUUAGAUACCCUAGUAGUC
rnacentral:rRNA from 1 species